rnacentral:misc_RNA from 1 species
GUAGGUGAACCUGCGGAAGGAUCAUUAUUGAAUAAAUCUGACAUGGUUGUAGCUGGCUCCUCAAAACAUAUACUCACCUAUCACCUUUAUCUUUCCACCUAUACACACACUAUAAUCCUGAAUACCUCUCGCCACAAAACAAAUACAAAAACUACCAUUCCACCUUCAAAAAAUCGACUUUCUCUGAAUUUCCAAAUCUAUAAUUAUCACAUACCCCAAUUGAAUGUUUCAGAAUGUUAUCAAAGGGCCUUGUGCCUAUAAACCUAUACAACUUUCAGCAACGGAUCUCUUGGCUCUC